rnacentral:rRNA from 1 species
AACGCGAAGAACCUUACCUGGGUUUGACAUCUCCGGACAAACGUAGAGAUACGUCUUUCGUAGCAAUACGACCGGAUGACAGGUGCUGCAUGGCUGUCGUCAGCUCGUGUGGUGACAUGUUGGGUUAAGUCCCGCAACGAGCGCAACCCUUGUCUUUAGUUGCCAGCAUUCAGUUGGGCUCUCUAAAGAGACUGCCGUGGUUAACACGGAGGAAGGUGGGGAUGACGUCAAGUCCUCAUGGCCUUUAUAUCCAGGGCGACACACGUGAUACAAUGGACGAUACAGAGGGAAGCGAAUGCGCGAGCAGGAGCCAAUCUCAAAAAGUCGUUCUCAGUUCGGAUUGGAGUCUGCAACUCGACUCCAUGAAGUUGGAAUCGCUAGUAAUCGCGGAUCAGCACGCCGCGGUGAAUACGUUCCCGGGCCUUGUA